UGACUGCCUCAGGAUUCAGACUGCAAUUUGAAUCCAGCAUGGAAGAGUGUGGUGGGGAUCUCAGGGCUCUGCUGGAACAUCUACUUCUCCCAACUACCCGAACCUAAAUCCUCAUGGCCGGAUCUACGAGUGGAGAAUCACCGCCCCAGAAGGAAGGCAGAUCACCCUAACGUUUAGCAACCUGAGGCUGGCCACGCAUCUGUCCUGCAACAGUGAGCAUGUGAUAGUAUUCAAUGGCAUUAGAAGUAACUCACCCCAGCUAGAGAAACUGUGUAGUAGUGUGAAUGUAAGCAGUGAGAUUAAAUCUUCAGGAAACACAAUGAAAGUCAUUUUUUUCACAGAUGGAUCUAGGCCGUAUGGAGGAUUCACUGCUUCUCAUACCUCCAGUGAAGAUGCAGAUAAAUGUGUGGUGGGUCUCUUCCAAAUACUCCUGAAGGAAACUUUACUUCUCCUGGCUAUGAUGGAGUCAGGAAUUACUCGAGAAACCUAAACUGUGAAUGGACUCUCAGCAAUCCAAAUCAGGGAAAUUCAUCUAUUUAUAUUCAUUUUGAAGAUUUUUACCUAGAAAGUCACCAAGACUGUCAAUUUGAUGUCCUUGAGUUUCGAGUGGGUUUGUUAAGAGCCUGGUAAGAAGUGCAAGAUUGACAAAGGUAAGGUUAGUAGCGGAGGUAAGUGAAAGCUUGAAUAUAGGAAACCUUGGACCACUUGCCAUUGCAGUGGAUAAAAUUUUCAAGAUUUCGUUGAAUUUGAAAGUCAAAGAUUCCAUUUUAAAGCCAUUGACUACCAUUGUCCAGUCGCUAUUGGGGCCAGGCCAUGUUACAAAGGAUAUUGAACGUUUGGGCUUAAUGUGAGGGCUUGUGACCUAGAGUCUGGAGGUUGCAAGGGAGACAGCCAAGUGAUGUGUCAUGGGGAAACCUUCUUCAGGUGGAUUUUGAGGCUUCACUGCAAUACUAGCUUCCUGUUGCUGCUGCAACAAAUUAUUAUUAUUAUUAUUAUUAUUAUUAUUAUUAUUAUUUUCAGAUGGAGUCUCGCUCUGUCACUCAGGCUGGAGUGCAGUGGUGCGAUCUCAGCUCGUUGCAAGCUCCGCCUUGUGGGUUCAUGCCAUUCUCGUGCCUCAGCCUCCCAAGUAGCUGGGACUACAGGAACCCGCCACCACACCUGGCUAAUGUUUCGUAUUUUUAGUAGAGGUGGGGUUUCAUCGUGUUAGCCAGGAUGGUCUCGGUCUCCUGACCUAGUGAUUCACCUGUCUUGGCCUCCCAAAGUUCUGGGAUUACAGGCGUGAGCCACACACUUAGUGUCUUUAAACAACAUAUAUGUAUUCUCUCACAGUUCUGGAGGCCAGAAUUCUAAAUUCCCUCCCACUGAGUCAAGGUGGGAGCAGGGCAAGUGCCUUCGGAGGCUCUGUGGGAGAAUCCAUUUCCUGGCUCUGGAGGCAGCCUGCACUCCUCGACUUUUGAUGCCCUCCUUGAAUGACUCCAAUUUCUCGCUUCCAUCACUACACCUCCCACCACUCUCCCAUCACCUGCUCUGCUCUUACAAGGAUCAGUGAGUACAUCAACUUGCCACCUAAAGAAGCCGGGAUAAUCUUCCCUGCCAAAGGUCCUUAACUUCAUUACAUCUGCAAAGCUUCUUUUACCAUAUAAGGUGCACCGGGUACUUCUUGAGCAUUGGGAUGAUCUGCUUCACCUCCAGUCACACAGCUUCCAGGCACUGGGAGUGGUCCUCCUGCAGGAUGUUCAGCUUCGACUUGGCCAGAGAAAUGGAAUGGUUGCAUCACUUAUCUACGUAAACAAUUGAAGAAUUGUCUGAAAGAAAAUAUGAAGGAACAUCUGAAGGAACACCUGAUGAGGCUGCACCCUUGGCGGAAAGAACACCUGACAUGGCUGAAAGCUUGGUGGAAAAACCACCUGAUGAGGCUGCACCCUUGGUGGAGGGAACAGCUGACAAAAUUCAAUGUUUGGGGAAAGCAACAUCUGGAAAGUUUGAACAGUCAGCAGAAGAAACACCUAAGAAAAUUAUGAGGACUGCAAAAGAAACAUCUAAGAAAUUUGCAUGGCCAGCAAAAGAAAGACCUAGGAAGAUCACAUGGGAGGAAAAAUAAACAUCUGUAAAGACUGAAUGCGUGGCAGGAGUAAUACCUAAUAAAACUGAAGUUUUGGAAAAAGGAACAUCUAAGAUGCUCACGUGUCCUACAAAAGAAACAUCUACAAAAGCAAGUACAAAUGUGGAUGUGAGUUCUGUAGAGUCUAUAUUCAGUCUGUUCAGCAAACUGACUAUUGAAAAUUCACAGUCUACAAAACUUAAGGAAGACUUUAAUCUUGCUACCAAUAAGGAAGCAACAAAGACAGCAACUGAACAACAAGAAAAUGAUAUUGGAAUUAUUGAAUGAGCGCCAUAAGAUCUAACAAAUAAGAUGCCCACAUCAGAGUCAGGACAAAAAGAAGAUACGAAAUCACCUUCAGUUUCUGAGACAGAUUCAACUAGCCUAUCAAUAUUCUUGGGUGCAGUUCCUUCUCAUGAAAGAGCAAGGGAACUUAAAAAAUAUCACUGUGAACAACUUACAGCAAAAAUAAAACAAAUGAAAAAUAAGUUUUGGGUACUACAAAAGGAACUAUCAGAAGCAAAAAUAAAAUUGCAGUAAGUGAAUCAAAAGGUUAAAUGGGAACAAGAGCUCUGCAGUGUGAGAAAUUGGACAUACUAAAACAUCAGCACCAGGAGAAGGAAAAUAAAUACUUUGAGGACAUUAAGAUUUUAAGAGAAAAGAAUGCUGAACUUCAAAUGACCCUAAAACUGAAAGAGAAAACAUUAACAAAAAGGGCACCUCAGUAUAGUGGGCAGCUUAAAGUUCUGAUAGCUAAGAACACAAUGCUCACUUCUAAAUUGAAGG
rnacentral:lncRNA from 1 species